rnacentral:rRNA from 1 species
GUAGGUGGCAAGCGUUGUCCGGAAUAUUGGGCGUAAAGCGCGCGCAGGGCGGUCCUUUAAGUCUGAUGUGAAAGCCCACGGCUCAACCGUGGAGGGUCAUUGGAAACUGGGGGACUUGAGUACAGAAGAGGAAAGCGGAAUUCCAAGUGUAGCGGUGAAAUGCGUAGAGAUUUGGAGGAACACCAGUGGCGAAGGCGGCUUUCUGGUCUGUAACUGACGCUGAGGCGCGAAAGCGUGGGGAGCAAACAGGAUUAGGUACCCUGGUAGUCCACGCCGUAAACGAUGAGUGCUAAGUGUUAGGGGGUUUCCGCCCCUUAGUGCUGCAGCUAACGCAUUAAGCACUCCGCCUGGGGAGUACGGCCGCAAAGGCUG